UACGUAGGGGGCUAGCGUUGUCCGGAAUCAUUGGGCGUAAAGAGCGUGUAGGCGGUCCGGUAAGUCCGCUGUGAAAGUCGGGGGCUCAACCCUCGAAUGCCGGUGGAUACUGUCGGGCUAGAGUGCGGAAGAGGCGAGUGGAAUUCCUGGUGUAGCGGUGAAAUGCGCAGAUAUCAGGAGGAACACCUAUUGCGAAGGCAGCUCGCUGGGACGUAACUGACGCUGAGACGCGAAAGCUAGGGGGAGCAAA
rnacentral:rRNA from 1 species